UACGUAGGGUGCAAGCGUUAAUCGGAAUGACUGGGCGUAAAGGGUGCGCAGGCGGCCUGUUAAGACAGAGGUGAAAGCCCGGGGCUAACCCCGGGAGGCGGGCGGAUACUGUCGGGCUAGAGUCCGGAAGAGGCGAGUGGAAUUCCCGGUGUAGCGGUGAAAUGCGCAGAUAUCGGGAGGAACACCAAUGGCGAAGGCAGCUCGCUGGGACGGUACUGACGCUGAGACGCGAAAGCGUGGGGAGCAAACAGG
rnacentral:rRNA from 1 species